AAAGCACAGACUCCAAACGACCAGGACCCAAACCAUAACGGUUUCCUAAAUAACCACGAACAGCAGAAUUAUUGAAACCACCAGGCAUUUUUGAGGAAAUCAUUCGUGAGAUAAGAGAAGACGAUUGUUUACCAAGAGAUCCGUUAAAGCUUGACUGCAUGAUAGCUCCAAGCUCAUCCAAUGGAACCUCCUCUGGCUUCUCGGGAGUGGCACCGAACUCCUUCUGUAAAUCACCAAGAAUUUCG